rnacentral:tRNA from 1 species
AAGUAAGAAGCGAAGACUUUGCACUCAGUUUCGGCCUGAAUUUUGAUAUAUCCAUAUCCUUACUUU